CUCCUGCCACGAUUCUGAGGCCUCCCCAGCCAUGUGGAACUGACCUUUGUGGUUACACUGGGCCCAUGAGGAUCCUCCAGGGUCGUCUCUCUUCGCAGCAUCCUGAACUGAAUCUCAUCUGGACGUCCAUGAUCAAGGCGUUGGCAAGGCUGGUUUCUCCUCAGGCCUCACUCCUUGAGACAGGACCUUGCUCUGUCACCCAGGCUGGAGUGCAUUG